AUGACCUCUGGAAAGCAAGUCCAUCAUGCUAUGUUCCCUGGGUAACAUCACUUGGUGCCAACAACUGCCUUUAAGAUUAAGUGUGAACUCCUACCCAGAGUAAACAAGAUCCACAAGGCUCUUCAAGACCUGACCUGGCAUCUGCUCAGGAUGACUUCAGUCUCUAAAGAACACUGAGAAUCCUCUGAGAUUGUAUCCUUAUCCUUACCAACCUGUUAACUGGAUGACCUAGAGUGGCAGUUUUGAACAAUAUAUACAAAGUUAGAGCAAUGACCAAAACCCACGGAUGCUGUUAGACACCUCCCUCAUCUGCUGGCUUCUGGGGCUUCAUGAUGUGCAUGGAACAGUUGGGAGAAAUUCUGGAGUCUUGCUGCAUUCCAUAGUGCUUUUGUGACUUAUCUACAGGUGGCACUUAUUUUGCUCUGUGACUGUUUUCCCAGCCGGAAAUCCUACAUGUAUCUGUUUUUAAAAAGCUGUAUACUUCCCACACCACACUAUGACAGCUUUUCAAGGAGAAAAGUCAGAACUGAGUCUAACCCAGUUUGAGUCCCAUCAUGCUUUGCUCAACAGUGCAUCCUGUGUCAUGCAACAACCCACUCUGCACGUUGGAGACUCUGCAGGCCAGCCAGACAGGUGAUCUGAGGAAGAGCUCCUCACUAUGCUGAGGCUGCUGCAGCUUGUUCUCUAUAAACAAGACCCCAAGACAGCAGCCCCUUUUUAUGGAGGACUUCAUCUCAUCCUGAUAGUGGGAGACAGGCAGAGGUCAGCUCUAUGCCAAUGCUUAACAACCACUGGUUAACAGUUAGGGGGCCAAGAUUUCUCCACAGGGCAAACCUACUCCAUAAGAGAGAGGCCAUAAGACUGGAGGGAAGGAUUAGAGGUCCCAAGCAUGCAAGAUACUGGGUAGUUUCAGAAUGUCCAAGAUAGGCUAGUUGCUGCCAUGUCAGGUUAAAUGGGGCUUUGAGUUUCUGAAUGACAGUCUCCUGUCGUGUGUGUGUGUGUGUGUGUG